UGUCACCAGUACUCUACAGAUGAUGAAGAAAGCAUGACAAUGUCCAAUUAGAACAAUACAACGAAUUUAUCAUCAAGAAAGACUGCAGCAUUCGAUAUGGAUCGAUAUGUGUAGUGUUGAUACGUUGCUAGCUAGGCUACAAAAUUGCCCCGCCCAUUGCAACCCUCCUCUGGCUUCUCCUCCAGGCUCAAGCUUGGUCAAUAUUGUGAUGUGCAAGGUGAAGUACUUGUCUCUGGUAUAGCCUUUAAUGAAACAUUCUUUCAUGCACUGGUGAAAGUCUGAUGCAGUGCAACUGGAAGGAAGCAUUUAUUGCAUUAUUAUUAAUAUAAUAUUGAGCAAUAAUUUUUGAACCAUUAUAAUUCUUAAUAUUGAGCAAUAAUUUUUGAACCAUUAUAAUUUUUAAUAUUGAGCAAUAAUUUUUGUACCAUUACAAUUAGUAAUAUUGAACAAUAAUUUUUGAACCAUUACAAUUACUAAGUAUUGUCGUGUGUGUAAAGUA